GGGAAUUUGGACAAUGGGGGAAACCUGAUCCAGCCAUCCCGCGUGUGCGAUGAAGGCCUUCGGGUUGUAAAGCACUUUGUCAGGGAAGAAAAGGUUUCGGAUAAUACCCGGAACUGAUGACGGUACCUGAAGAAUAAGCACCGGCUAACUACGUGCCAGCAGCCGCGGUAAUACGUAGGGUGCAAGCGUUAAUCGGAAUUACUGGGCGUAAAGCGUGCGCAGGCGGUUCGGAAAGAAAGAUGUGAAAUCCCAGGGCUCAACCUUGGAACUGCAUUUUUAACUACCGGACUAGAGUAUGUCAGAGGGGGGUGGAAUUCCACGUGUAGCAGUGAAAUGCGUAGAUAUGUGGAGGAACAUCGAUGGCGAAGGCAGCCCCCUGGGAUAAUACUGACGCUCAUGCACGAAAGCGUGGGGAGCAAACAGGAUUAGAUACCCUGGUAGUCCACGCCCUAAACGAUGUCAACUAGCUGUUGGGCCCUUCGGGGCUUAGUAGCGCAGCUAACGCGUGAAGUUGACCGCCUGGGGAGUACGGUCGCAAGAUUAAAACUCAAAGGAAUUGACGGGGACCCGCACAAGCGGUGGAUGAUGUGGAUUAAUUCGAUGCAACGCGAAAAACCUUACCUACCCUUGACAUGUCUGGAAUCCUGAAGAGAUUUAGGAGUGCUCGCAAGAGAACCGGAACACAGGUGCUGCAUGGCUGUCGUCAGCUCGUGUCGUGAGAUGUUGGGUUAAGUCCCGCAACGAGCGCAACCCUUGUCAUUAGUUGCUACAUUUAGUUGAGCACUCUAAUGAGACUGCCGGUGACAAACCGGAGGAAGGUGGGGAUGACGUCAAGUCCUCAUGGCCCUUAUGGGUAGGGCUUCACACGUCAUACAAUGGUCGGGACAGAGGGUUGCCAAGCCGCAAGGUGGAGCCAAUCUCACAAACCCGAUCGUAGUCCGGAUUGCAGGCUGCAACUCGCCUGCAUGAAGUCGGAAUCGCUAGUAAUCGCGGAUCAGCAG
rnacentral:rRNA from 1 species